rnacentral:rRNA from 1 species
UCGCCUGUUUUACAAAAACAUGUCUGUAUGAAGUUAUAUAGAGUYUGGCCUGCCCACUGAGGUUUUAAAGGCCGCGGUAUUUUGACUGUGCAAAGGUAGCAUAAUAAUUAGCUUUUUAAUUGAAAGCUUGUAUGAAAGGUUGGACAAAGAAAAAGCUGUCUUUAAUAUUUUUAUUGAAUUUUACAUUUAAGUGAAAAGGCUUAAAUUAAUUUAAGGGACGAUAAGACCCUAUAAAUCUUUACAUUUAUUUGUCUUUUUUUUUGUUAGUUGUGAAUUAAAUAAAAAAUAAUAUAGGUGUUGUGUUGGGGUGAUAGAGAUAUAAUAAAUUUUAACUGUCUUUAAGAGUAUAAACAAGAGUAUUUGAUUAAAUUUAAGAUCCUUUCGUGCAGAUUAAAAGUUUAAGUUACUUUAGGGAUAACAGCGUAAUUUUUUUUGAGAGUUCAUAUCGAAAGAAGAGUUUGCGACCUCGAUGUUGAAUUAAAAAUUUCCUUAUGGUGUAGCCGUUGUAAGGGAGAGUCUGUUCGACUUUUAAAAUUUUACAUGAUUUGAGUUCAAACCGGCGUAAGCCAGGUUAUUUUCUAUCAA